rnacentral:rRNA from 1 species
UACGUAGGGUGCAAGCGUUAUCCGGAAUUAUUGGGCGUAAAGAGCUCGUAGGCGGUUUGUCGCGUCUGCUGUGAAAACUGGGGGCUCAACCCCCAGCCUGCAGUGGGUACGGGCAGACUAGAGUGCGGUAGGGGAGAUUGGAAUUCCUGGUGUAGCGGUGGAAUGCGCAGAUAUCAGGAAGAACACCCGUGGCGAAGGCGGCUCUCUGGGACGGUACUGACGCUGAGACGCGAAAGCGUGGGGAGCGAACAGG